CACACACACACACACACACACACACGCGCGUACGCACCAGCAGGAUGCUCUCCCAGGCCAUCCAGCGUAUAGGCAGCACGGCUCGGCCCUGGAUUCUGUAGUAGUCACUGCUGUACAGGUUCCUGCUCAUGCCGAAGUCUGAGAUCUUGAUGGUGAGCUGUCGGUCCACGAGGCAAUUCCGCGUGGCCAGGUCCCGGUGCACAAAGUUCAGAGACGCCAGGUACUUCAUCCCCGAUGCAAUCUGAACGGCCAUGUGCAACAGGUCUGACAUACUGCAGCGGGAUGUUGUUGGCAUGGGUGAGCGUGCUCUCGAUCUCUCUCUGAGAGAGGAACAUGUUGAGGUCUCCGUUCUCCAUGUACUCCGUCACCAUGCAAAGGGGGUCCGAGUGCACACACACACACAGCAGGCGGAUGAUGUUCGAGUCGUUCAGGCGCGACAUGAUCUUUAUCUCCUUCAGGAAGUCAUACCUGGCGUUGGUGGUGGCGUCGGCUCUGAGCUGUUUCACUGCCACCAGCACUGAGCUCUCGUCAUCAGAUAACGGAGGAGCGUCCUCUUCUAAAAACUCCACCAGACCCUCUGCCUCACACAGGUGUACCUGUGCGCGCACACACACACACACACACCCAGGUUAUCCACACUCACACACAGUGUUAACUCUGUAUAGAGCUGUACAGCAUGCCCACCUCUCCAAACUGCCCCUCCCCGAGUUUUUCGCGGAAGAUGAGGCGUUCCCUUGGAAACUCGGCAGCGGUGAUGUCUUUACGUGUCAGAGAGUCUGCGGUGAGGGCGGGGAUGGCGUACGUGUUGCCGCCGGUAACACCUUGCAGCUUCACAAUCAGGGUCUCGGCGUAGUGAGGAACGCUAGACUGGAGACUCUGGUGAUGGGUGUGAUGGGUACACUGGGUGAUGUCUGGCUCAGCAUAACCACCACAGUCUACAUGGGGGAGAGGGAGGGGGAGAAAAAUUAAAAAAGUAGAACGUCAUUCGUUAAUUUAAAAAAAAAAAAAAAAAAGAACUCGGGGACUGUUAAAAGAAAACCAUCAACAAUGGUAUGGAUCACUCUGCUUCAUGUCCAGCUACAUCACACCACACCACUGUUGAUUAUUUUCCCAUAAC
ensembl:lncRNA